rnacentral:rRNA from 1 species
UACGUAGGGGGCGAGCGUUAAUCGGAAUUACUGGGCGUAAAGCGUGCGCAGGCGGUCUGUUAAGACCGAUGUGAAAUCCCCGGGCUUAACCUGGGAACUGCAUUGGUGACUGGCAGGCUUUGAGUGUGGCAGAGGGAGGUAGAAUUCCACGUGUAGCAGUGAAAUGCGUAGAGAUGUGGAGGAAUACCGAUGGCGAAGGCAGCCUCCUGGGCCAACACUGACGCUCAUGCACGAAAGCGUGGGGAGCAAACAGG